GAGGAUUUCUGAAGGGACAAGAGUUCUUGUGUUUCAUUGUUUAAGCUCCUUGAGAAUUGAGAAAAGUCUUCUAAAAUUGAUGCUGCAGGCAACAUUUAGACAAAACAGUGAAGAAGAGCAAUAAAACAAGAUGAGUGUGUUGGACCUCACCAGCCACAGGGAUGGAAAACUGCGAGAGAAAUCUGAUUUCUUGGAUGUCUCAAAAGAAGGCUGCAGGAGAGGUCAGCCAGCCCUUUGCAGAGAAAUGCUCAAGUGAUGCAUUAAAGAGUUUAUUGGGACACCAACAGGAAGCUUGCCGUGAAACAGGGAACUGAACUUGUGUCUCCUAAUUCCCAGACCAGCUUCCUUUCAUGUGCCAUCCUUCUUUACCUGAUAAUAAAAAGAAAAUGGAGCAGCAGUGCCUGUUUGACCAGUUGUGCAUAUCUCAGAAUCCAGAUCCAAAGAGGAGAAAAUGGUCCUGCUAAUGCCAGUAGAGAAGAUAUGGCAAUUUCUUCUCCUCCAUGCUGAAAGAACCUCAUUGAAUGUGCUCCUGUACCUGCAGACCUCUGCAUCUGAGCAAAUGUUUUUGCCAAUUAAAGAGUUUCCUGCUGCUGUAGUUGAUCCACACAAAUGGAAAUAGAGGGGAGGCGUGGAGGAAGGAAUCAUUAAAUCAGCGGAACAAAGGCAUGAGGGCAAGUUAAAAGACCUGAUCUGAAUAAAAGAAGCUUCUCAAAAUAUCA